UACAGAGGUCUCAAGCGUUGUUCGGAUUCAUUGGGCGUAAAGGGUGCGUAGGUGGCGCCGUAAGUCGGGUGUGAAAUUUCGGAGCUUAACUCCGAAACUGCAUUCGAUACUGCCGUGCUUGAGGACUGGAGAGGAGACUGGAAUUUACGGUGUAGCGGUGAAAUGCGUAGAUAUCGUAAGGAAGACCAGUGGCGAAGGCGGGUCUCUGGACAGUAACUGACGCUGAGGAGCGAAAGCGUGGGGAGCGAACAGG
rnacentral:rRNA from 1 species